rnacentral:misc_RNA from 1 species
AAUCUCAAAUAAUCCUAACCCAUAUUUGAAAUCACCCAACAGAAAUGAAAUUAAACUAAAUUGAGUAAUGAGAACACCCAAAAAACUCACAAACACCAUCUCCCAUAAAUAGUGAGGACACCAAGGAGAGGACCACUGUCAACUGGAAAGAGGAGUCAAGGUCUUAUGACUUGCAAGGGCUACGACGGCGUGGCUGAUGACGAACAAAGAUAGCAUCACGGUAAGGCAAAGGCAUGGUUGUGAGGAAUUGAGGAUUCUGGGCUUCGUUGAGGCUUCAUCUGGCUAAUCUUCUGGUCUAGGAUUGAGGGAACGAUGGCAAGGAGGAUAGGAGGGCAGCAGGAACGAAAAGCAGACAAGGAGGGCAGAGGGAAAGGGAAGGAAAAGGGCAGGAGGGCGUGCUAGAGGAAAGGGAAGUCUUGUUUGCGUGAGAGAGCUUGGGAGAAUGGAGGCCAUAAUUUGAUGAGAGGCAUGAAA